rnacentral:rRNA from 1 species
CCUACGGGAGGCAGCAGUGGGGAAUUUUGGACAAUGGGCGCAAGCCUGAUCCAGCCAUGCCGCGUGUGGGAAGAAGGCCUUCGGGUUGUAAACCACUUUUGUCAGGGAAGAAACGGCUUUUUCUAAUACAGAGAGCUAAUGACGGUACCUGAAGAAUAAGCACCGGCUAACUACGUGCCAGCAGCCGCGGUAAUACGUAGGGUGCAAGCGUUAAUCGGAAUUACUGGGCGUAAAGCGUGCGCAGGCGGCUUUGCAAGACAGAUGUGAAAUCCCCGGGCUCAACCUGGGAACUGCAUUUGUGACUGCAUGGCUAGAGUACGGUAGAGGGGGAUGGAAUUCCGCGUGUAGCAGUGAAAUGCGUAGAUAUGCGGAGGAACACCGAUGGCGAAGGCAAUCCCCUGGACCUGUACUGACGCUCAUGCACGAAAGCGUGGGGAGCAAACAGGAUUAGAUACCCUGGUAGUCCACGCCCUAAACGAUGUCAACUGGUUGUUGGACGGCUUGCUGUUCAGUAACGAAGCUAACGCGUGAAGUUGACCGCCUGGGGGUAGGUACGGCGCGAGUUAGUUAACGUACGAAGAGAGUUAGACGGCGNGAGACGNGCCGACGGACGACGACGAGGGAGGAGGAG